GAUGAACGCUGGCGGCGUGCCUAAUACAUGCAAGUCGAGCGAACGGACGAGAAGCUUGCUUCUCUGACGUUAGCGGCGGACGGGUGAGUAACACGUGGAUAACCUACCUAUAAGACUGGGAUAACUUCGGGAAACCGGAGCUAAUACCGGAUAAUAUUUUGAACCGCAUGGUUCAAAAGUGAAAGACGGUUUUGCUGUCACUUAUAGAUGGAUCCGCGCUGCAUUAGCUAGUUGGUAAGGUAACGGCUUACCAAGGCAACGAUGCAUAGCCGACCUGAGAGGGUGAUCGGCCACACUGGAACUGAGACACGGUCCAGACUCCUACGGGAGGCAGCAGUAGGGAAUCUUCCGCAAAGGGCGAAAGCCUGACGGAGCAACGCCGCGUGAGUGAUGAAGGUCUUCGGAUCGUAAAACUCUGUUAUUAGGGAAGAACAUAUGUGUAAGUAACUGUGCACGUCUUGACGGUACCUAAUCAGAAAGCCACGGCUAACUACGUG
rnacentral:rRNA from 1 species